rnacentral:rRNA from 1 species
AGCGAACGCUGGCGGUAGGCCUAACACAUGCAAGUCGAACGGCAGCACAGUAAGAGCUUGCUCUUACGGGUGGCGAGUGGCGGACGGGUGAGGAAUACAUCGGAAUCUACUUUUUCGUGGGGGAUAACGUAGGGAAACUUACGCUAAUACCGCAUACGACCUACGGGUGAAAGCAGGGGAUCUUCGGACCUUGCGCGAUUGAAUGAGCCGAUGCCGGAUUAGCUAGUUGGCGGGGUAAAGGCCCACCAAGGCGACGAUCCGUAGCUGGUCUGAGAGGAUGAUCAGCCACACUGGAACUGAGACACGGUCCAGACUCCUACGGGAGGCAGCAGUGGGGAAUAUUGGACAAUGGGCGCAAGCCUGAUCCAGCCAUACCGCGUGGGUGAAGAAGGCCUUCGGGUUGUAAAGCCCUUUUGUUGGGAAAGAAAAGCAGCAGGUUAAUACCCCGCUGUUCUGACGGUACCCAAAGAAUAAGCACCGGCUAACUUCGUG